rnacentral:rRNA from 1 species
AUUGAACGCUGGCGACAUGCUUUACACAUGCAAGUCGAACGGUAACAGGCCUUCGGGUGCUGACGAGUGGCGAACGGGUGAGUAAUGCAUCGGAACGUACCCAGAGGUGGGGGAUAACGCAGCGAAAGCUGUGCUAAUACCGCAUGUGAUCUGAGGAUGAAAGCGGGGGACCGAGCAGCAAUGUUUGGCCUCGCGCCUUUGGAGCGGCCGAUGUCGGAUUAGCUAGUUGGUGGGGUAAAGGCCUACCAAGGCGACGAUCCGUAGCUGGUCUGAGAGGACGACCAGCCACACUGGGACUGAGACACGGCCCAGACUCCUACGGGAGGCAGCAGUGGGGAAUUUUGGACAAUGGGCGCAAGCCUGAUCCAGCAAUGCCGCGUGCGGGAAGAAGGCCUUCGGGUUGUAAACCGCUUUUGGCAGGAACGAAACGGUGUCCGCUAAUACCGGGCGCUAAUGACGGUACCUGCAGAAUAAGCACCGGCUAACUACGUG